CCAGGAAGCAGGCCCGCAGCGCCAGGAGGGGGUUUCCUGAGGACAGAGGCCCUUGUCCUGAUUGUCGCAGCAGGCCCUGUCGAUGGACUUAACUGUGAAAAUCACCCUUUCAGGGGUGGAUGCAAGGACUUCUGAGGGCGGAGAAGUAGAUACCUUCCUGGAUAGCUGUGGAGCCGGGGUCCUGCAUUUCCCUCUGGCGUCUCUGCUGACUGAGAUGUGAAGCAGUCGGCCCAUGUCCCGAGAAGAGGACUGGUGGCCUCACAAGAAGAGACAAGAAGAAAGCUGUCUCUGUGCACACACACCGAGGAAAAGCCAUGUGAGCACACAGCGAAAAGGCAGCCGAGCCCACAAGCCAGGAAGAGAGCCCUGCACCCCAGAACUCAACUGUGAGAACAUACAUUCCUGUUGUUUAAGCCACCAGUCUGUGGUAUUUUAUGGCAGCCCAAGCUAAGACAGUGAGUAUGUACAUUUUCUUGUUUUUGCUCUCUGUUAUUUUCUGUAGUGAAUAUCAAUUGCUUUAUUAUUUAAAGAACAAUAAAUGUGAA
rnacentral:lncRNA from 10 species